rfam:Pseudozyma hubeiensis SY62 DNA, scaffold: PHS38.
GGCAAGAUGGCCGAGUGGUCUAAGGCGCUGUGUUCAGGAAAUCUCGAUUUUCAUCGCAGUCUUCGGGCGUGGGUUCGAAUCCCACUCUUGUCA